AGAGUUUGAUCCUGGCUCAGGAUGAACGCUAGCUACAGGCUUAACACAUGCAAGUCGAGGGGCAGCAUGGUCUUAGCUUGCUAAGGCCGAUGGCGACCGGCGCACGGGUGAGUAACGCGUAUCCAACCUGCCUUACACUCUUGGACAGCCUUCUGAAAGGGAGAUUAAUACAAGAUGUUAUCAUGAGUAAGCAUUUUCGCAUGAUUAAAGGUUUACCGGUGUAAGAUGGGGAUGCGUUCCAUUAGAUAGUAGGCGGGGUAACGGCCCACCUAGUCUUCGAUGGAUAGGGGUUCUGAGAGGAAGGUCCCCCACAUUGGAACUGAGACACGGUCCAAACUCCUACGGGAGGCAGCAGUGAGGAAUAUUGGUCAAUGGACGAGAGUCUGAACCAGCCAAGUAGCGUGAAGGAUGAAGGUUCUAUGGAUUGUAAACUUCUUUUAUACGGGAAUAAACGAAUCCACGUGUGGAUUUUUGCAUGUACCGUAUGAAUAAGGAUCGGCUAACUCCGUGCCAGCAGCCGCGGUAAUACGGAGGAUCCGAGCGUUAUCCGGAUUUAUUGGGUUUAAAGGGAGCGUAGAUGGGUUGUUAAGUCAGUUGUGAAAGUUUGCGGCUCAACCGUAAAAUUGCAAUUGAUACUGGCAGUCUUGAGUACAGUUGAGGUAGGCGGAAUUCGUGGUGUAGCGGUGAAAUGCUUAGAUAUCACGAAGAACUCCGAUUGCGAAGGCAGCUUACUGGAUUGUAACUGACGCUGAUGCUCGAAAGUGUGGGUAUCAAACAGGAUUAGAUACCCUGGUAGUCCACACAGUAAACGAUGAAUACUCGCUGUUGGCGAUAUACGGUCAGCGGCCAAGCGAAAGCAUUAAGUAUUCCACCUGGGGAGUACGCCGGCAACGGUGAAACUCAAAGGAAUUGACGGGGGCCCGCACAAGCGGAGGAACAUGUGGUUUAAUUCGAUGAUACGCGAGGAACCUUACCCGGGCUUAAAUUGCAACUGACUGAACCGGAAACGGUUCUUUCUUCGGACAGUUGUGAAGGUGCUGCAUGGUUGUCGUCAGCUCGUGCCGUGAGGUGUCGGCUUAAGUGCCAUAACGAGCGCAACCCUUAUCGAUAGUUACUAGCAGGUCAUGCUGAGGACUCUAUUGAGACUGCCGUCGUAAGAUGUGAGGAAGGUGGGGAUGACGUCAAAUCAGCACGGCCCUUACGUCCGGGGCUACACACGUGUUACAAUGGGGGGUACAGAAGGCAGCUACACGGCGACGUGGUGCUAAUCCCGAAAGCCUCUCUCAGUUCGGAUUGGAGUCUGCAACCCGACUCCAUGAAGCUGGAUUCGCUAGUAAUCGCGCAUCAGCCACGGCGCGGUGAAUACGUUCCCGGGCCUUGCACACACCGCCCGUCAAG
rnacentral:rRNA from 1 species